GGGUAAUACUUAGCAGUUAGGGAUUUUGAUCAAAAUUCCUUUCUCCCUGUCUCUCUUCUUCUCUGUCUUUAGCUUUAUAAUAGACAUAUUUGGAGAAAACUAUGAAAUAAUUGCUCAGAAUUGGUUUGUUCUUUAAGUUUAGUAUAGAAGAAAAUAAUUUCUAUUUCCUGCCAUUGAAAAUAGUCAUUAGGAAUAGUAUUCAAUCACUGAACUGGUAUAGUAUGUUUUUCUUUGAAGAAGUGCAUGUACUGGUACACAUUCAGUUGGCAUAUGGCUGAGUAACACUAUGAGGAAGGACCCUGACAAGCGAGAACACCUUGAACAAGAAUUGCAUAGGGUAGUCAAAGCCUAUGAUACAAGGUUCUGGGAACUCAGAAGAUUCAGUGAAAGCUUUGUAACAGAUAAAAAUGAUAUAUAUUUGAGUAUAUAAUAGUGCUAUCAGUUCACUUGUUUCUGUUUGUUAAUGUUGAGGUAUCUGUUUUUCCUAAAACUCUGACUACCAAACACUUGUGAUUAAAUGAAAAUCCUAACUAAGAAUGUAAUUGUAUAACUAUCAUGUCACCAUCUCUCCCAGUCUGUCCCUGAACCUCCUGAAAUUCAUUCCUAGAUGUGAAAUUCUACAGAGUGUAAAAAUAAUAGAUUUUUUUUUUGGUCUAUUUUAUGUAUUAGUUAAAAGUAACAUUAAAUAUACUGAAGGUAAUAUCUUUAGAUCCAUCUUAUAGAGGUCUUUGAUUUUAAAUGUGUUAUAGCAUUGAAGAAAAACAUUUGUCAUACAGAGAUGUGGUUAAUCUUGUUCAUGACACUGAAAGAAUCAAGGACACAAAUCAGUUAAGAAUGUAAAUGAGAUUGUGUAUGUCUUUACUGUUAGUUCAGAUUUUUAAAACUGGCAGAAGUGUAAACGAACAACAAUCCAUCUUAAUGAUAUUUUCAUUGUGACCUAAGAGAUCUGAAUACCUUAACAAAUUCAAGUUCGUUCAGUUUAAUUUAUCGCAUUUAAUCAAUUCCUUUCAAGUUGUCAAAAAUAUGAAAUCAGAGUGAUUAUUUAUAAAUAGAUUUAUUUGAGUUUGUGGAAAUUUCAAAGGAAUAUAUUUCUAUUUGCU
rnacentral:lncRNA from 7 species